UCUGGGAAGGUCUGUUCCGAAUUUACUCCUCCUGGAUUGGUUAAGAUCCCUUUUAAGUGUGUGCUUUGUUCUCUGAAAAGCUGAGGUCAGUUGAGCAACAUGCUGCUAAUGUUUGGGGGGAAAAAAAAAAAGAGCUGAGUAAUGCUGGAGCCUUCUCAUGUGGCUGAUGCAAACCUGGAGAAUUUGCAUCAUCAUUAAGCUGGAAUAAGUUGGUGUGACAGGCAGGAGCUUAAAUACCAGCCCAUGAGGAAGCUGAGCUGGUCUGUAAUGAUAGGGCGGUAGCAGCAGCCGCAGCCGCAGAGGUAGAGUCGGAGGUGGUGGAGGAGCGAGAGCACCAUGAACACACAGGUGUUUCUGAGGAGUAAUCAGAGAGCUGUGAAGGAGAAAAAGGCACCAUUGAGUUUUUACCUGUGAACACAAUAGCCCUGAGAGAGACAAUCUGAAAGCAAAGAGGAAGAGAUUUGGUCAGUCACACCAAGAGAGACCAAAGUGGAAAGUUUUGGGUUUUGUUCUUGUUUUUGUUUGGUUUUGUUUGGUUUUGUUGUUGUUUUUGUUGUUUUUUUUUUUUUCCUGUGUUUCCUUUUUCCCCGCGUGUCACUACAAUGGUCAAAAAGCCUGUUGUGUCCACCAUCUCCAGUGGAGGUUACCUGCAGGGGAAUGUUAAUGGGAAGCUGCCUUCUUUGGGUGGCAAGGAGCCACCUGGGCAGGAGAAAGUGGUGCUGAAGAAGAAAAUCACUUUGCUGAGGGGCAUCUCCAUCAUCAUUGGCACGAUCAUUGGAGCAGGAAUCUUCAUCUCUCCUAAGGGCGUGCUCCAGAACACGGGCAGCGUGGGCAUGUCUCUGAUUAUCUGGACAGUCUGUGGGGUCCUGUCUCUGUUUGGAGCCUUGUCCUAUGCUGAAUUGGGAACAAGUAUAAAGAAAUCUGGUGGUCAUUAUACAUACAUUCUGGAAGUCUUUGGCCCAUUACCAGCUUUCGUACGAGUCUGGGUGGAACUGCUCAUAAUACGCCCUGCAGCCACUGCUGUGAUUUCUCUGGCAUUUGGACGCUACAUUCUGGAACCAUUUUUUAUUCAGUGUGAAAUUCCUGAACUUGCAAUCAAGCUCAUUACAGCCGUGGGCAUAACUGUAGUGAUGGUCCUAAACAGCAUGAGUGUCAGCUGGAGUGCCCGGAUCCAGAUUUUCCUAACCUUUUGCAAGCUCACAGCAAUUCUGAUAAUUAUAGUCCCUGGAGUUAUGCAGCUAAUUAAAGGGCAAACACAACACUUUCAAGAUGCCUUUUCAGGAAGAGAUGCAAGUAUCAUGGGGUUGCCACUGGCUUUUUAUUAUGGGAUGUAUGCAUACGCUGGCUGGUUUUAUCUCAACUUUGUUACGGAAGAAGUAGAAAAUCCUGAGAAAACCAUCCCCCUUGCAAUCUGUAUAUCCAUGGCCAUCGUCACCACCGGCUACGUGCUAACAAAUGUGGCCUACUUUACGACCAUUAGUGCUGAGGAGCUGUUGCUUUCAAAUGCAGUGGCAGUGACCUUUUCUGAGCGGCUACUGGGAAAUUUCUCAUUAGCAGUUCCGAUCUUUGUUGCCCUCUCCUGCUUUGGCUCCAUGAAUGGCGGUGUGUUUGCUGUCUCCAGGUUAUUCUAUGUUGCGUCUCGAGAGGGUCACCUUCCAGAAAUCCUCUCCAUGAUUCAUGUCCGCAAGCACACUCCUCUGCCAGCUGUUAUUGUUUUGCACCCCUUGACGAUGAUAAUGCUCUUCUCAGGGGACCUCUACAGUCUGUUGAAUUUCCUCAGUUUUGCCAGGUGGCUUUUUAUUGGGCUGGCGGUUGCUGGGCUGAUUUAUCUUCGAUACAAACGCCCAGAGAUGCAUCGUCCUUUCAAGGUGCCACUGUUCAUCCCGGCUUUGUUCUCCUUCACGUGUCUCUUCAUGGUGGCCCUUUCCCUGUAUUCGGAUCCAUUUAGUACAGGGAUCGGUUUCAUCAUUACUCUGACUGGGGUCCCUGCAUACUAUCUCUUUAUCAUAUGGGACAAGAAGCCCAAGUGGUUUAGAAGAAUGUCAGAAAGAACAACUAGCAACGACCCAUAGAUAAGACACCUUUAUGAAGAUCCCAGAACCUGAGGUUGGGGCUGACGCAGCCCCUUGGAUGACCAAAACCAAGAAAAAUCACGUUAGAAAGGAAGAUUCCCGUAGCAGAUUGGGCUUUGGCGGGUGAUCUCGGUGGCUUGCUACAGUGUCAUUACAGAAUGCAUCUGGAAGAUUCUGCGGAAAGAGACAAGCCUCGGAAGACCAAGGUGAAGCUGAGGCCUGAUCUGUACUCUUAAUGGGUGGUGAAAUUCCAGUUCCUUUAAAUAGCCAUCAAAGACACCGCAGAGCCUAAGCUAAAGCUGCCCCAGACACUGAAACCUGGGACUCAUUUACCAUCUGCCACAAUCAUUCCAUCCUCUUGCAAUAUUUUAUUCCACUUACUAAAACUACAAGAAGGUAUUCGUGCAUUUUAUGUGUGUGGGUGUGUGGCUAAAAUCUCCUUUUGCAUCUGUUGUUUGCAUAAUCACAUCGAAGGCUGUUACCAGGGCUGGGGAAGCUGGAUUUAGUAUAUACUUUCUUUUUUUUCCCCCCUAAUGGAAAAAUCUAUCAGCCCAACUUUAGUGACUAUUUUGAAACAGCUUUUUAGGUGGCGAGAUAGGAAGUGGUCCUCAAUUCCACUAGUACAUCAUUUAUUCAUGCAUAGUUCACUAUCGCUCUUCAUCAAAGCUUUUCUAAAUGUUUUCCACUCACCCCGGGUACCUAACUCUGACUCAUUCCUUCAACAUUGAACACUGUUCUUAUCUUCUGUUGGAGUAAAAAAGAUCAAGACUAUUUGAGAGAACUCUUUUUAUAAACGACUGCAACCUGCCUUCCUUCAACUCACAGCAUCCCUUCCCUCAUUAAUUCUUUCCUUUUCUCCGAUGUUAGGUAGAAAAUUACCCUCCUCCUCAUGAAGUUAGCCCAGACACGUGUGUUCUUAAUUUUGCCUGAUUCCGUUCAUUUUCCAUUAAUCCCUUAAUUACUGAAAUAUUCAGCUUUUUUCUCUUAAAUACAUCCUCUGAUUGGCUUGCAUUUAUCCUUUAGAAAGAAACAGAAAUAAAGCAUUACUUUCAACACUGUGUUGCCCUUCAAGCUACUCUUGCUUUCACUCCCACAAAACUUCUGAAAAGAUUGGUCUACAGUUCCUGUCAUCAAUUUCCUUCAUUUAUUCUACUCCUGUCUUCAUUACAAUCCCAUUUUCUGCUCCCCCAUUCUUUGAAACUGUUCUAUAAGAGUGCACAAUUCCUAUCUACCGAGGACAAUUGUCAUAGUUUUAUACUAUUCUGCAUCUGAGUGCUCUUUCUGUUUGGUGUAAAUCCUCGGGUUUCUACUUCUUAGCGGGAAGCAGGGCUUCAUGUUCAAGGAUAAAGAGAUCAGAUGCUCUUUGUACCCCCAGGAAGCUAGGACAUAGCACCUAGUACUGGUUUGGCAGUCAGAUGGUUCCCACCUGGGGACAGAGGAGAAUUUAUUCGCAGAGGGGCAGCAGCAGAGCCUGGAACAGAGGUGACGGUGCUAGUUAUAGAGCCUCUGGUGUCCUAAAUUAGACUUUUUCUCUUCAGUGUUUCCCAUUGAUUAUCUCUCUUGGUUCCUUUCUGCUUUCUGAGCCUAAUUUUCCAAGUUUCCCAUAAUUCUGAAAGCUGUCUAAUACUUUUACCAUAAAUUCCUUUCAUCCCUUACUUUUAACAUAUUUGGUUUAUGUUCUUUUGAGUUAAAGACCUCACCGAUACAGAGAAAGGUACUUGGGAAUGGGUUUAAUGUAAUGGAACCUUAGGGAAAGUGGGGUUAGGAGUGAGGAUGUGGCUGGUUUUCAGACUGGGGCUGAAAGCAAUGAAAUUCCAUUCAUCUUUGGCCACCUUGACAGCCCAUUGCAUGCAGUGGUGAAAGAGCUAAUUAAACACAGCCUACGGGUCUCUGGAAUGAAAGACUCCCUUGGAAUCAAAUGCCUAUUCAAGGUAAGGCUUUGGGAGAACCAAGUUGCCACUAUCAUUAAACAGAUAAAAUAAAAGACUAUAGGGUCACCGAGAAUGUUUUGAGAGCAUUGAAUAGAUGACAAAGGCACAUGGUAAGUUUCUCUCCUUAAAUUCUUGAUUAUGGCAAAGACUGAAUCUCAGAAACUCUGAUAAUGCUAAAAGAGUCUCUUCAUUCUCUCAGCAUCUUUCAACAUCCAUGUACUUGAAAAUGAAACUCAGGGUUUGAUAUGGUUGCCAAAUUAUGAUAAAAUUACCUUUGGUCUUGCUGUCUUCUUGUGUGAAAGUGAGAGCACUGAUCAGAAAAAUGUCGAACCCUAAAGCAUCAGAAUCAGACCAUGUGAGCUGAUUCCAAAGGCUUGCAGUUCCUUGAACUCCUCACCUCCUCUACCCCCACCCUCAUCCCAUCCCCCUCUGUGGUGGUGUUCUGGACCUGGCUUUUUAUGGCUCAUGAGGGCGGAGCAUUUAUCUCUUCCCACUCUGUGUUCAGUGGGACACAGUAUUAUGCCGACCACUUGAAGUAAGCCACAGAGUAUUUUAAAUGUUGCAAAUCAGGAUUCCCCUCCCCCUCUUGCUGGAGAGUGGGUUGUUAAACAUUUACCAGCACAUCCCUGUUCUUGGGAUUUCAGAAGUACUUCCUUCAUUAUUUGAUAGGUCUAUCUCUUCUUGCUUGGAGAUUGUAUUCCUCUUUUCUCAGGGGCUAACUUUGCAAGAGAGAGAGCCAAUUCACCCCUUGGAACUGUAGAGAACUUUUUCCUUCUUCCCUUCUAAGUUCUUUGGUUGGUCUCAUAGUUAAAUUGACAUAAGACAGAGUGACAGAAGAAACACACAAUUUCAUUUGUAUGGGAGCCCAUAAAAAUGUAAGACUCAAAGACAUGACCAAAGCAGUCAGCUCUCAUACCUUUUAGACAAGAAAGCAGUAAACUUGUGAAGAGUUGACAAAAAAAAAAAAAUAAAUAAAAAGGGAUUUGGGCUUGGGGUAACUGGUGAAAAAGUAACAAGGUUUGUGUAUACAGCCUCACAGCCCCGAAUUUCCUAUCCCUGGCUAUAAGGAUGCCUACUAUCUUCCUUAUUAAAGGGGAUACUUUCAUGUGAAAGAUUCAGGGGAACAAAUGAGGGUCAGAGUGUUCUUUUUGUACUGUCUGGGUCUCAAGUAAGUUAAAUUCAAAAUAAUCAGUAUCCAAAGUGGCAUAUUUUGGGGUGGUAUAUUCUGCUCCUCUUCAGAGUCUACAAACCUCCCAUUAUCUCCAAACUUCUAACUACUGGUCAGAGGCUGACAUGUCCCAGAGGAGUCAAUUGCGCUGUGAAACCUGGAUGAGGUUUUCUCCUUUCAUUUUUAUGAUGAUAAAACUUGGGACUAUACAUAAGAAUGAUAAUGACUAAUAACAGUGACUGGCCUUGGAUAGAUAAAGCAUAAUUUUUCAAAGUGAUGACUGUAUCAUUCUGAGCUAGCUUGAGUGGGCCUGUUUCUUGGCUCAUUUGUUUGACUAUAAUCUCAAUUCAGUGGAGACUGAAGAUAGUGAACUUGAGAUUCUAGAAAUUCUUUAACUAACACAGAGAAGGGUAGUAAGUACUCUGGGGUGAAAUUACCAUAUAUAAGUAAUCUUUACCCUAAUUUGUCCCCCAAGAAGUCUAGAUCAUUACCAAGGUCUUAAGAAAUGUAUUGGCGAGGGGACUGGCAGCAGUUUUGAGGAGUUUGUUUGUACUGUUCUUCUAGGCUGAGGAUAUCAGUGGCAGAUGCUUCAGUUGAAAUGGUUUCCCUGAUUGAUAGGAGAAAAAAACUAGUGUAGGGCAGUGGAGGUCAAGUGCAGCAUUCAAAAGUAAAAGACAAAAUUGUUGUGGUGGCCAUAGUAGGCAGCAGGUCAAGUUCAGCAGUCAGAAUGUUCUGAAUUACAGGAAACUUUGGUAGUGGUUGGCUGAUCAGGGGUCCCUUAACUGAAAUAUGUAAUAGCACAUUAGUCCUUCUUGAUUUGUGUUAUGAAAACACUCCACGACUGGAAAGCAUAGGUCUGACACAGGGCCCCAUUGCAGGGAGUUGCUCACUCUAGCCCAAUUAUCAUAUUUGAGUUAGCUCCAUAAGCAAGAAUUACUUAAUGAUGGAUUCAGCAAUAUUGCUUGAUGUGCAAUUAAUCUCCUUCUUAGCCUUCACCGAAGGCUAUUUGUUGGCCAUUUACUAUGUGGUACAGAUAAAUAGCUCUUAAUCUGAUCAACUCAGUUCUAUGCUCUUGGUUCACUCAGAAUGGCUGGGAAAUUUUGUCCUUUUGAAGAAAGAAUUCCAAAGACUAUUGCUCUUGAUACCAAUGAUUUAGCAACCAUCAAGAAUAACAGUAUUACAUUGUGAGGGUAAUGUGCUUUGAGGAGUCAACAUUCACGUAAACAUUAUUAGGUAGCAAGUGUUAUUGUCUUGACUUUGUGACAAAAAUAGACUUCAUUUCAGGUCAUGCUGAUACAAAACCAUCCUAGAAUCUGGCUGCACACACAUUUCAUGCCAGGUAUUAUCUAUAUGUGAAAAGAAUACAAAGAAGGCAUAAAAUUCUGUAUAGUAAAAAUACAUAUAGCCAACAUGCCCUGGGAAAGGGAGAUAACUGGAGCUUUGGAGUAUUGUUAAACACUGAUUCUGAGCUACCUAAUUCAUGGAGACUGAGAAUAUCACUGUGGUCUACUGAUCAGAAUGACAAAUUGUACUUCAGGUUAUACAUUGAGUUUCGAUCCGAGUCUCCCUCUAGGUGUUCCAGUCUUGGGGUUAUUUUUCUGAGUAUAUAAGUGGAAUAAGUCUCAUAAGCAAUUGGCAGAGUCCCCCACUGGGUCCCUGUACCAUGAAUAGAGCUAGCAAGAUUGAAAUUGCCAAGCUUCUGGACUUGAUCUUACCUACUCAAGUACUAAAAUUCAAAGUAAUAUUGAAUCCAUAGGUGAAUCACAGAAGUUAAAAGACAUCAUCAAAGCAUGAAUGAUGUCUGGGUGAGGAUUCUUUUCAUGUCUCCAUUUAGGCCUAUGUAAAAGACAUAGAGGUACAUUGAGUGGUUAUAAAUUGUACCCAGUUAUCCAUUUAAUAAACAUUUAUUCAGUACCAACCAAGUUUCAGACUUUGCUGGAUGUUGGGUACAAUGGAGAAGACUGGCAUUGAUCAAGAUAAUUCUAUGAGCUCAUGUUGUCCGGCAUUUGUGUGUAAGUGUGUGCAGGGAAGGUUUGAAGGAGAUAGCAGGAGAGAUAAGGAAAGUCUUCCUUCAGCAAGUGACACUUCACAUGAGCUCUGAGGCAGAGGUAGGUAUUAGCUAAUCAAAGGGGAAGGGCCAAAACACCACCCGCCACGGGAGAGAAGGGUGUAUCUAAAGAACUGAAUGAAAGACCCUCUACCUGGGGUGGCGAUGGCCUGGGCCAAAGCGGCCAGAGAGGAGGCUGAAGUGAUAGACAAGGGCUAAACUGGCUGGGUUUGCCAGUCUUAAGAGCAAUGUGAAAUCAACCACAUGUAUUUUUUUUUUAACUUUUGUUUUUGUUUUUUAGAGGAAGAGAGUGCAAGCAAAUGGGGAAGAGUGCCAGAGGGAGAAAGAGACAGAAUCUUAAGCAGGCUCCAUACUCAGCACAGAGCUCAACAUGGGGCUCGAUACCAUGAUCGGGGAUCAUGAGCUGAGCCAAAAUCAAGAGUCAGAUGUUCAAUUGCCUGAGCCACCCACGCGCCCCAAGUGCAUGGUUUUUGGUAAAGAAAUGUCAUGUUCAGAUAUUUAAAAGACUUCUCUGACUGCACUGUGGGUUUAAUCAGAGUGUAACAAAAUAUAGUAUUGAUCUAUUACAGGAAUCCAAGGGAAGGUUUGUUGUAUGGACAUAGAAACAGGUAAAUUUAUGAGAUAUCUAGGAAGUGAUAUUAAUAGGAUUGGUGAUGGCCUAUUGGUAAUGAUUUGAAAAUUGGGCACAUGGAAGUAUAAAAUGUAAAGCAGUAUUCUCAUAUUUCUGGCUUGUAGAGCAGAAGAUUAUCUAUCUAUCUCUCCAUCUAUCAUCUUUCUAUCUAAAAUUUCUGGCUUGUAUAGUACAUGUAUAUAUAUGUGUGUAUAUAUUGUAAAUAUACAUAUAUACACAAUCUGAAGUAUCUGGAGUGAGUCUGAUUCUUGGCUCAUUUGCUUUGAGGGGUGGGGAAUAAACUUGGGGCAAUGAUCAUAAGUUCAUUCUUGGACCUGUAGAGAUGGAGAAGCCUGACACAUUUAUGUGAAGAUGUUAAGUGAAAACAGACAUGGGGGUGAGGAAUGAGAACCGGUUUGGUGAUGAAAUGCAUAAUAAAUACAGGGGUCACUGGUCCAUGGAUUGGAAAUGAAGCCAGAGCUGUGGGGAAAUCACAGAGAGAGAAGAGAAGAGCCUGAGACCAUGCACUGAAGGACUCAGCAGCUAAGCUUGCCCAGGACCUGUGCACAUGACCUGUUCCAGAAAGACAGCAAUCUCCCUUUCCUCAAAAACCCUGCUAGAUUCGUUGUCUUUGGCUGGAGUGAGUUAUUUCAUCCAAUUGGUGCCAACAGAAUGAACUUUAAGCUGCAUAUAGAUAAUGGUUGUAUAUUUUCAUAUUUGGCAGAUUCUGUGGAGAUUGCCUUCCAAAUUCUAAGAUUUAUCUCCAGAAUUGUGGCUUGGCAGGAAGACUAAUGUACAGUCUUCAUGUGUAGGUUGUUUGAUUUGGGGUGGAUUUCAAUACUGUAGGUGUAGAGGCAACCUGAAAUUUUAUAAAAUAGCUUUCUUCCAGUGCAAAGUUUUAUGCCUUUUUCUCUUCAACUAUAAAGGGGGAAAAUGGUAAAGACAGAGCUGUUAAGUUCUUUGAUCCAUAUACCCCUGCAAAGUUUUUUCCUCCUGGAUUUGGUUUUGUAUAUGAUUUAUUUUAUGCAUCUAUCCCUCCCACCAACGUGGAGGGUGCCUGUUUUGAUGUUUAAUUAAGUUGUGAUAACAUUUUAAUUUAAUUACAUAUUAUGCAUUAUAAUUAUUUGUGAAAACUUUUGUGGGUACAAGAAAAAGCUGUAGAAGAAAAAAAAGCAGAUCUAAGGAAAACUGUUUUAAGAUGCUGCAUUUCUUGACAAAGAGCUGUGUCAAUUUAAUGGAACACUUAGGUCUCAAUGCAUUUACACACAAAACUUUGUGUCAUUAAAUGGCAGCCUAUGGGGCAAAUUUGGAAAUAUUUAGAAAAAAUAUAUAUAUUUUUUCCUUAUAUUUAGGAAAAAUUCACAUGUAUGUUAACCCCUGAGACGGUGUUACUGAUUAUGUUAUAAUGAACUCAUUAUUUGCUUUGUCCUAGGCUUAGACUAAAUGUCUUUGUUUAUUUGACGUGAUUGUAGGUAUUCUUGAGUCCAGCCAUAUCUUCAUAUGGACCAUUGAAAUGAUAAUUUUGAGAAGAGUUAGAAAGAGUGAGGAGCAUUUUUAUUCUACUCUAUUUUUUCCUAGAAUGUUUCAACCUGCCAUGAAUCUCUUGAAGGUGAAGAUUCUUCUUCUCUUAUCAACAGAUGAUAACAUUUGGUCUGUUUCAUGUUUGGAAAGAUGUGGGUCUUGGACCUAAAGUUCCCGGUUUGGUAACGAUAACAGUUUGGCUUAACACCGAUAACAAAUAAAUCAUCCCAAAGAUAUUAGGGAUGGUGUGAAGCUCUAAGAAGAGAGAUAUCACUUGGGCCAACAUUCUCUACAGAUGUCUCUCAAGAUCCCCGGGAAUUGGUUGGAAAACAGCACAUGUGGACCCUUAGAGUGCUGUAUUCCCAAAUACCUCUCAUUCUAUUAGUAGCCCAGGCCAGACCUCAACCACUGUCUUCCACUUCAGAAAGGAGGCAGAGCAGAGACGUGGGCAGGUUAAAAACUCGGGCGGACACAUGGAUAUAACAGCUAUUGCAAAUGCAGAAAGCUGGCAGCCUUGAAUUGCCAAACUGAAGCACACUGCUUUGACUCUGUUGUGUCACAAAUAUGCAUAAUAAUAUUAAGGGCAACAACUUGAAGAUCUACGGAGAUGUUUUACAUGAUGGCUUUGGUCAACUGAAUGCCAAUUCCACUGACCCUUGAGGUUGGAAAUGGUUUAGGGGAAUAGCACACUAAGAAGAAAUUAUAACGAUUUCCCUUUCAACAUGUAUUUAGUUUCUCUAUGGAAGACGUGCUUUGGACUAUUUAUGAGUAUUUUGGAGACGCUGAGUGUAAAUCUGGUUAGUGACCAAACAGGAAAAAAUGUUUAUUAUUUUAAUAAUAAAAAUACAGUGGCGUAGAUUAAGAGAACAGUUCAUUACUCCAUCCAUGAGAGAUUUCAGGAAAAAAUUGCCAUCGAUUCAACAGAAUUAAUUUGAGCAUCAUUAUGAGUAUGUAAAAGUAUGUGAAAGAAUGGAAUUCAUAGAGGUGGAAAUGUUAAAAAAAAAAAAAAAAAAAAAAAAAAAGCAAAAGCCAUGCUCUGAAACUACAAUAUUUCUCAUUCUUAAAAGGGAUACGAGAAUAUGAAAUAAAGCGAUAACUUUGAAAGCAGAUGUACAACACUGUGCCGUUCCGUUGUUAUAAAUCAUAACAAUGCUCCACAAUGUAAAUGUUUAAGAUACUUUUAUUGAAUUACUGUGACAAUAAUAACGGCCCAUGAAAGAAAGGCAUCCAUAUGUAUGCUAAUUAAGAAAAAGCAACACACUGUAACUACUGAACAAAUCAUAAAAUAUUCAGUUCAUGUUUGUUGAGAAUCCAAAGAGGUUCUGUUUUAACUUUAUAGGUGCAAUUUGGCUGGAAAAGAGGUGUAUGUGAAGCAGAUUGUUAAAUGCUCUUUUACUGUUACUCGCUGUUUAACAAGGUGCUCCAGUAUGAUGAGAGGGAAGGACAACUUGGACUUGAAAUACUCUUUUAAAUCACUUUGAUGAGUUUGAAGAAGGAUAUUGACUCAAAAGGAAGUAUCUGUGCUUUGCAAAUCACUUUGAUGGGCUUAAGUCUGUUGGGUAGCUAUUGACCAAGGUGAUAUGGUUAAAUAGUUGGAAUUGUUGGCCAUAAGUUUGGUAGUACUUACUUUUUAUCUGCAUGUUAAACUCAGAGCUCAAGACUAUAAUGAGACCCAUAACUCAUUUCUUAAGUGGCCUUAAAUAAAUGUACCCUACCGAAUUGUCAUUGUUCUUUCUAUAUCUGGGCUUCAGGGUACUUAACUACGGAAGACUGAAAAAUGUCAUUUCUUCCGUCUAAUCUGAGAGUUAAUUGAAAUGAUCUGACGAAAUGCACUGGAUAUUUCCUCAUUUGUUGUUUUAUUUCUCCUUUAUAAUGCAGUAUUUCUAGUCUUUGAACCAGACUUGAGUUGUACAAUUUUUGGAUCCUGGACUUUAUAUUUUCUAGGGAGCAUGGUUUUUUGUUUUUGUUUUUGUUUUUUUCUGGUUUUUGUUUUUAACCAUUGUUUUGUUUUUUACAUUUUAAAAAAUUUUUAUUUAUUUUUGAGAGAGAACGAGAGAGAGUGAGCACAGGGGAGGGGCAGAGAGAGAGAGGGAGACACAGAAUCCGAAGCAGGCUCCAGGCUCUGAGCUGUCGACACAGAGCCCGAUGCAGGGCUUGAACCCACGAACUGAGAGAUCUUGACCUGAACGAAGUCAGACACUCAACUGACUGAGUCGCCCAGGCACCCCUUAAGGAGCAUGUUUAAAUUAUUUUUGCUUUUGUGACUUUGUAGAUAAUAAAAUUUUCUCCAUAACCUGUUCCCCUUUCUCAAUGAUCUCACAGGCCCUCUCUUCCAAGUUGGUAAGGAGAUAUUGAAAAUGGGUUAAAAACCUACGCUAGAACUGCUAUUUUGGGAACUCCACACCUCUUCACCUGCUGCCAACUCUCUUUGUGUUCCAAGUCCUAUAAUGAUCAGGGCAGUUUUAGCCCUAGUGCUAAUGACUCUGUAGACCAAUUGCUUUAACUCUCUUUCCUCACUACUAUGUGCAUUCUAAUCCUAGCAAGAUUACUAGAAUAGGCAUGAAAUUGCCUACAUAGCCUUAAAGGUUUUGCACCAAGCUAGUGCUCUGGCUGAAGAAAUUCCUCAGAGGGCACGUCUGCAGGGGCACUUUACUUAAGAGAAGAGCAUUUUGUGCCCUACUUAUAAAUUUGCUAUUAUAAACCAUCAGCGCUGGAAAAGGCAUAUAGAUUCAGCUCAACAUCUGAAAGCACUCAGUCCUACUGAAACUGAUUAGAAAUGUAUUUGGAGUCCAGAAUACAAACAUUUCUUUACUUGUCCCCUCAGGUUAUAUUUAGGUGGUGUAGAGACUACUUUGAAUCAGUGCUGGAAGUAUUUUCUUUUAAAUCCUUCCUUGUUCCUUUUUAUGUCUCCUUAUCCCAAGUGCCAGUUUCAUCUUUCUCAUUCCUUUUAUAAUGAAACAGACUUAUCUCAUCUUAGCAUUUUCCCUGGCGUCAGCAUCAGAAAUCCCAUUAUUAUUAUUUUUUUUAAUGUUUAUUUACUUUUGAGAGAGAGAGACAGACAUGAACAGGGGAGGGGCAGAGAGAGAGACACACAGAAUCCAAAGCAGGUUCUCGGCUCUGAGCUGUCGGCACAGAGCCUGACAUGGGGCUUGAACUCACAAACUGUGAGAUUAUGACCUGAGCCCAAGUCAGACGCUUAACCGACUGAGCCACUCAGGCCCUCCGUCAGAAAUCCCAUUUUGCUCUGGACGUCACAUUCUUCAGACUGGAAUUUUAAUCCUGUGGUGGCUUCGAAGUGUGUCAACUCAGCAAGGGUAAUAGUGGGGCGGGGAAUACUUCACAUUCUGUCAAGUCCUUCUUUAGCUUCUGACUCCUGGGGAGGUUAUAUGGACUUAGCUCCUAGUCUCUGUAGCACACCUGUAGUGCCAAGUAUACAAUAAAUGGACAAGGGUUUCAGUUUGUCUCAUGGGUUUCAGCUCAUGCUUGUGAGUACCAGCUUGCUUUUUUCCUCUACCACGUGAUGUCUAUUUUUCCUUCCAACUACUUGCCCUGUGGGCUUCAAGCUCCAGACUCAAAUGUGGACACAAGCACUUAAUCAGCACUUCAAAUUCCAUAAGGCCAAAUCCUUGUGAUAAUUGCUUAAUAUUAAUCUAUUUUUAUAUCCAUAUCUAUAUAUCCACCCUAGUGGCUUUGCACCUCUAAUAAAAUCCUGACAUAUUAAUUUUGUAUUGGAAAUAGUUCUAGGAGACCAGAAUUUUAAGAAUGAUUACUCCAAAAUAGUUCUGCAUUUUCUUGAAUUGGUUCUUUGAUCCGAUAGACAUAAAGGUAUUAGUGACUCUAUUUCCAGCAGUUAAGAGAGUACAGAUAGGCUGUGCCAUGCCAUGGUAAAAUGGUUACAUAAACGAUCACCUUUAGAUAUCUGUAAUCAAGCAACUCUAGAAGGCAGAUCUCUGGAUGACUAAGGAUUAGGUGUCAGAAAAGCUUUUACUAACAAUAAGAGCGUAAUGGUAUUGUUUGGUUGAUUGUAACUCUCCUGGGGAACCUGGGAAAAAUACAUGAUGAGCACAGGGCUUGAAAUUCCAGGGUCCAAGUCUGCACGAGGGACCUGAAAGCUGCUUUGACUUCCAAAACAAAACAAAACAAGCAAAAA